rnacentral:lncRNA from 1 species
CAUUUUUCUAAAAAUCUGUUCAAUCAGCUCCUUUUACUAAUUUAAUUUAUUUUCUAAUUUCAAAUAAUCAGUGCAGCAUGGAAUCAAAUCAUUGAAAUUUCGUUAUCGAGACAACUUAAUCUCCUGAUACCUGAUUCUCGACAGCUUCAUAUAAAAAUAAUACGGAGCAAGCAGAAAACCUUUAAAUCACGGAGCAAGCAGAAAACCUUUAAAUCACGGAGCAAGCAAAAGACCUUCAUGAUGUGAAACUAGAGCUGAUAGUGUUGGCAUCAUUCACCUGAACAUCAUAUCUGUUAGUGAACUGUUUCAGAUACCAGUUAUCUAACAGAAACAUAGUAAAGAGAGAAGGAUGAUGUCAUCUAUAAAGUGCACUCACCUAGUCCGCCAAACUCGUUCUUCACAAUAUCCUUGAGUUGAGCAACUUCCAAGCUUUGCCACAGGCGAUCGUCGGAGUACUUCCCUUCUAAAUCCAGGACAUGUUAUGAUGGGUGAAACGAACCUGACAGUUCCACUGAAUAGUAUGACGUCUUGCGGUAUGACAGCUAGCUGGGACCGCAGUUGACAGAGAGGCACCGCGGUCAGGUUGACUCCGUCUAUCAAGAUGGCGCCGUCACUGACCGGAACCACGCCCAGGAGUGACAUCACCAGUGAUGACUUGCCACUGCCUGUACGGCCGCACACUCCCACCUUUCAAUUAUAAUUCUCAGUGGGCUCUGCCGUGGUGCGUGAGACCCUCUCGACGGCUCCCAUGCACGCCUCCACGUCCGAGAGGAACUUGACGACCCAGUUGAGGUAGAUGGGCACGAGGAGGGUGUAGUUGACCGCCAGGCCGACCAGCGCCGGUGACACCGGGAACAGGGAGGCUGUCACGCACGACACCACCAUCGCCAGCAACACUAUCAUUGCGCCCAGUAUCGGUUGAAAAUCGGCUGAUGAGUGUACCCAAAGGAGUGCACUGAAAGUGUUGCAGCGGCACUCGGAGCAACUGUUGCAGCAUGUUGCGAUGCAAAGUGUCGCGGGCACGUGACGCACAAAACUGCCCCACUCCGUUGGAGAGCAGAGACAGCACCACUGACACCAGAGACAGUCCCGUGUACACCAGCAGGUGAGAUCACAGCUUACUUGGUCAUUGGACGAGUUGUGGCUGGCCCAAUUGGACAACCAGAAAUCGGUGCCGACGCGAAGUCCCUGCCAAGCGACAGUGGAGAUGAGAUAAGCGACGCACAGCAUCUUACCGCAGGCACUCGCGUAGGUGGCGUACACUCGAUCUGCUAUCUCACCGUAGGCUCGCUCUUCUUGGCUCAGAUUUGAUUUGAUUUGCUGAUGACUUACUGAUGAGCGCCCAGUACAGAGAAUCCUGAUCAAGUCGUUUCAGCUCAUCUCCGCGUGUCUUCAGUAUGCGACUGCAGAAAGAAUCCUCCCAAGCGUGCAGCUUCACCAGUCGUAUGCCUUGCAAUACCUCAUUGGUUUGCCAUAGACGCCGUGUUAGUGGACAUCCACUUGCCAAUGAUGAACUGUAGUGGAGUGAGAAGAGCUACACAUGACACCGCUCCAAUCACAGCACUGAUACCCAGUUGACGAUACACCAACCAAAUUAGGAUGAUCACCUGGAAAGUAUUUCAAUCUGUGUGUAAAGUGUAAAAAUAAUAAUUCAUUCACAAUAGUUGAGUACAGUAUCAAAUGUGUGUACAUUACCAUUCAUCAAUGAUAACAUCGACACCGCACUAACAUCCACUGAGCAGUUGAUUAUACACUAACCAGAUUAGGAUGAUCACCUGUGAAUUAUUUUAUUUGUUAGUUAUCCAUUUAAAAUAAUCAAAUAUAUCAAAAGUUUUUGUACUUUACCCUUCAUCAAUCCUUUCCGUCAUUCAUUAUCUAUACUAUAAUAAUGGAAAUAACAGGCUUAUACACGUACGGGUUAGGAAAUUCACGAAUGAC